AUACCUUUCUCGGCCUUUUAGCUAAGAUCAAGUGUAGUAUCUCUUCUUAUAUGUGGGUCAUCGACCUACUUGAUAUUAAUCUUAUUUUUGGAGGGGGAGUGGAAAAGACCGUCACACUAGCUUGCUAGUGGGUCUAUUUUUUUUAUUAAAUUUGUCGCCUUGGUCCUAUACUAUCACCAAGGUCUCUGGCACCCCAAUU